rnacentral:rRNA from 1 species
UACGUAGGGUGCAAGCGUUGUCCGGAAUUAUUGGGCGUAAAGAGCUCGUAGGCGGUCUGUCACGUCGGCUGUGAAAACCCGAGGCUCAACCUCGGGCCUGCAGUCGAUACGGGCAAACUAGAGUACUGCAGGGGAGACUGGAAUUCCUGGUGUAGCGGUGAAAUGCGCAGAUAUCAGGAGGAACACCGGUGGCGAAGGCGGGUCUCUGGGCAGUAACUGACGCUGAGGAGCGAAAGCGUGGAGAGCGAACAGG